GAGAGACUCAAGCAGACUCUCUGCUGAGUGCAGAGCCAGUGCAGGCAGGGCUGGAUCUUGCGACCCUGACGUCACAACUUGAGCCUAAAUCAAGAGUCAGAGACUUAACCGACUGAGCCACCCCAGUGCCCCUCGAAUAUAUUAUUUCUAAAACAUUUUAAUAUUGUUUCAUUUAUUAAUAGGGAAACAAGGAAAAAUUAUGAGUAACUAAAAAUCUCUUCACACAGCUACAUACACUAAUAAUAUCAAUAAUUAGGAAUAGCUUAACAAUGAGAAAUCUUGACCAGAAAACUUUGCUAAACACUAUAGAUAUAGUUUUAUAGCAAUAGUGACAGCAGGGAUUUCUUUUAAGGUGGUGUUUUAACCCCAUCUCUAUCCUAAAGGUUUUGGAAAGAACAAAAGCUUUUGCAUGGUUCACGAAGUGAUUUUGAGAUGUUUUUGAAAAGCAAGCAGCGUAUGUUUUUCCCUCUUUGGAACUGGACCUGAGACCACAGGAACAUGAGUGGAGCCCCAGGUCUUUCAUGACUGUGCAUCUCCAAUGACUCUCCUGCUGGGACCCUAAUAGGAUUUAUUCCCCUUACACCUUCAUCUGCUCUGGCUCCUCAUGCUGUUCUAUGGUGUGAAUGAUGAGCACGAGGACUUGCGUGGCCUGCAGUUGUCCUGGUGUCUUCGCCUUCCUGUCCAGGUGUGGAUGCAAGACAGGUGAAACGGCAUGAUGAGAUGCCUUCAUCAUAAGCAAAGUCUGUUUCCCCAUUCCUUGACUUCGGACUUGGCCACGUGGUGUGCUUUGAAUGGUACAUGGGCAGAUUCUUGGCUCCAGAAGGAGGAUGAGAGACAUACGGAGGAGAGCCACCCUUGCCCCUAUAGACAGAGCAGCUAUAAACUGAAGCAGAACUACCCAGCUGAGGCCAGACUAAAUCGACCAAACUCCAGCCAACCUGCAGACGUGUGAUACGUAUAUAACGUUAUAUGUAUCCAUCUGUAUCUAUGUGUGGUAUUUACAUAGAAUAUGUAUAAUUAUAUGUUAUGCAUUAUGUAGACGUCACUGUUUUAAGUCACUGCAACUGAAGGGUGACUUGUUAAGCAGCAGUUGCUCACCGGUGCAGUCCAUCGGUGGCACGUGUAUGUGGUACCAAACUGUGCCGCUGUUGCCAGGGAUGGUACCAUCUGUACUUACAGGCAUGGAAAGAUGUCGACUCAAUAUUGUAAAGUGAAAGAAAUCAGAUUUCAGAACACAGCCUGCCUAGGUACGAUUUCACACACACAGAUACAAGAAUGGAGGUUUUGGUUAUUUCUGGAGGGUGGGGAUCAGGAUUUUUUUUUUCUUUUCUCUGUAGUUUUGUAUAUUGCUUUUCAUUUUUUUUUAAGAUUUUAUUUAUUCAUUUGCGUGAGAGACAGAGUGCU